rnacentral:pre_miRNA from 1 species
AGGUCUACCUCUGCUUAAGUUGAUAUUUAUUUAAUUAUCACUGGGCAAGGUAGACUCUA